UACGUAGGAUGCAAGCGUUAAUCGGAAUCACUGGGCGUAAAGGGCGCGUAGGCGGGCUGACAAGUCUGGGGUGAAAUACCACGGCUCAACCGUGGAACUGCCUUAGAUACUGUCGGCCUCGAGGGAGGUAGGGGCGUGCGGAACUGUAGGUGGAGCGGUGAAAUGCGUUGAUAUCUACAGGAACUCCGGUGGCGAAAGCGGCGCGCUGGACCUCUUCUGACGCUGAGGCGCGAAAGCUAGGGGAGCAAACGGG
rnacentral:rRNA from 1 species